rnacentral:rRNA from 1 species
UGUAUAGCAAUAGCUAUUUGCACUAAAAUUUUUAGUGUGAAAUCGACUAUGUCGAAUAAAAUUCUGGAUAGAAUUAUGAUAAUGACAUUAUCUGUCCAUAAGUCUUGACCAAAUUACGUGCCAGCAGUCGCGGUAAUACGUAGAAGACAAGUGUUAUUCAUCUUUAAUAGGUUUAAAGGGUACUUAGACGGUAAAUAAAGCCUCCAAAAGGUACUAGUUUGCUAGAGUUUUAUGUGAAGGAGUUUUAAAGUACUACUGGUGUAGAGAUGAAAUUCAGUUAUACCUUACAUGGCACAGGUUAAGGCGAAAGCAUCUUCUUAUAUAAAAACUGACGUUGAAUGACCAACGCUUUGUGUCUCGAACAGGAUUAGAUACCCUAGUAGUCUAAGCAGAAAAUGAUGAAUGUCAUAGAUUAGAUGUAAUUUGAUCUGUAAAUGAAAGUGUAAGCAUUCCACCUCAUGAGUAAUGUGGCCACAUUGGAACUGAAAUCAUUAAACCGUUUCUGAAACCNUNGUGAAGUAUGUUGGUUGAAUUUAAUAAUCUUCANAAAACCNNCCCCACUUUAAAUUACUUUUUUUAACAAACAACCGGUUACCUCCCUUUUCCAUUGAAGGNNGGA